CUUAUUAUUCGGGUUCUCGAGUUGCAUCUUUUGUGUGCAAGAAUGAUUGGUCUUCUUUCGCGACAUCGACUAUUGGAUUUUGUCAUGCAUGUAUCUCAAAGCAUUCAAGUUCGUUCAUUCGUCGCCCGCAUAGAUCUUGAAGUAGCCAUUGCACGACCCAAUAGUGUAUUUGUGUGAAGAAAAUCUUUAUUUGAGUACCAAUCUCAUGUCAAAGGAAAAAUAAAUGUUGUAACACCAGCAAAUAUGCUUUCUAAAGUUAAAUUUCAGG
rnacentral:lncRNA from 1 species